AUGAAAUAAACUAGGUUUUCAUAGCUGUUCUCUGAUGAUCUUGGUAUAGUAUUCGCCUGUGUCUUUCAAAAGUAAUCUCACAUUUCAAGAGACUAACGCUUCCUGUUUUUGCCAGUCAAGUUGAAGAAACGUCUCCACUACUUAAAGAGGGACCUGCAAACUAUUUCUAUUCAGCUGUCCCAAUGGGAUUUUCUCUUAGUAAAUCUGCUACUCAGGUAUCUGCUAUGCGUAUGGAUUCAAAAGUGGAUGAUCACUUAAUGCAAGGCACUGAGAAAAGCAAAUUGGAACCAGUGACUCAGUUAUUUCAAAACACCAAGAAAAUAAGAUUAGAAGACACAAACCAAGAAAACUUUACAAGGAGCAAAGAUACUGGCACAGGAUCUCUUUCGGAGAAAGCCUUGGGUUCAGUGGUGUAUGUUAAAGAAAGUGAUGGAAUAGAAAUGAUAGAUGUGGAAUGAAGUUAUUUGUGUAUGUUACCAAAGAAACCAAAAAUUGGUUUUGACUAAGAGGGCCUGUUGAAUGAGAACGUAACCUUAUUAUGAAAACCUAACAAAAUGAAGGAAGACGAUUGCUUAUUUUUCACUAUUUAUGAAUCACUGUAGAUUGCACUUUUUGAUGAUACAUAUUCAGAAAAGUUGCUUUAGAGAGAAGAAGCUUUCCAAAAUUCAAAGAAGAUUUCUCUGGUAUUACAUUCUGUCCUUGUCAAAAAAUCAGAGUUUUUGUGUAACAGUAUUUAAAUGGCACCAAAACAUUUUAAUUAUAAUGUAUUUCUCUAACAAGUGAUCAAAAACCCAAAAAACAGUGCCCAAAUAAUUUGACAUCAGUAUUUCAUAUGAUUUCUGGUGUACUGAUUUUGUAUGUUGAAAUUCCAGUUAGGGAUUUUGCUUUAGAAUACUUUAUCUUCUUGCAUUUUUUCAUGUCUGUUCUGUUAAAGAUCACUGGCAGCUAAACUCAAAGACCAGUAAAUUACGUACCUUGAGAAGCAUUUCACAUUUCAAAUCAUCCUUUUAAAACUUUUUUUUCACCCACGUGGAAUUCAUUGCAGAGUUCACAAAAUAGUUUUUCUAAGUGUAAUAAUUUAUCUUGCAGAUGUUACCAUUUUAUACCACCAAUAUUUAAUAUAAUAAAACAGCCUAGUUGUUAAAAAAAAUUCUUGUUUUGUAUAUAUCAGUUUGCCAUUCUUAUUAAAACAUCUAGUAGUUUGAAACAGCAGUAUUGUCCCAAGUAAUGUAAGCUGAAGUUAAAAACCAUUUGUGUCUGGACAAACAGUGACCU